ACUGCAAGCUCUGCCUCCCGGGUUCACGCCAUUCUCCUGCCUCAGCCUCCCGAGUAGCUGGGACUACAGGCGCCCGCCACCACCACACCCAGCUAAUUUUUUGUAUUUUUAGUAGAGAUGGGGUUUCACCGUGUUAGCCAGGAUGUUCUCUAACUCCUGACCUCAGGUGAUCUGCCCACCUCAGCCUCCCAAAGUGCUGGGAUUACAGGCAUGAGCCACGGCGCCCGGCCUGCUUACACAUUUUUAAAUUUCUUUUAAUUCUUAUUCCACCUCAGCUUCCCAAAGUUAAAAAUUAUGUUUAUUAUCACUGAUAGAGAAUCUAAUUGCUUUCCAGUAGGCGGGGACUACAUAAAUUCUGGAGCACCAGCCUGCCACAGGGCUGGAGUGCAAUACGUCUUCAUGGCUCACUGCAGCCUCAACCUCCCAGGCACAAGCGAUCCUCCCAUCUCAGCCUCCUGAGGAGCUGAGGCCACAGCUGCAUGCCACCAUACCCAGCACCAGGCUCAGGCUGGAAACCAUCCAAAGCGCAAUCCCUGACCUCAGGCAGCUCACAGUCCAGUGGGG
ensembl:lncRNA novel transcript